UUAAUACUCCCUCCGUCCCAUAUUAAGUGACUCAAAUUUGUUUAAAAUUGGACGUAUAUGUAUACUAAAAUACGUCUAGAUACAUGUAAUAUUUCGGCACUUAAUAUGUGAUGGAGGGAGUAUUAU
rfam:Brachypodium distachyon strain Bd21 chromosome 4, whole genome shotgun sequence.